rnacentral:lncRNA from 1 species
UCAAAAGAAAAAAGGGCCUGCACGCAGAGCUCGGCGGAUUCCCGUGCGCUCCGAAGACGGAUAUUGGAAAGCUGCAAAAGUCACCAGAAAGAAACAGGCAAGCAAACAAAAGUCGCCCCCAGAAGAAGAGGAGGGUUCCCUCCGGGCUCGCUCGGAGUCCCACAGGGCAACGAAGCGCGGGUAGCGGCUGCGGAGCCGGGCGGAGGCAUAGAAAUGAAUCUCUUCUAUCAAGAUGAAAACUACAAACGACUGUUUCCAUGAAAGUGAGAAUAAAGGGAUUAAUUACAUGGUCAACAGCUGGAAUUUACAAGGAGGCAAAUUAAAUAAAAUAGCAGACAAGCAUGAACUGCAUUCCCACAAAAGCCAUAAAAUGGGAAUACCAAGAGAACUGGCAAAUAUGGAGUCUCGCUCUGUCGCCCAGGCUGGAGUGCAG